rnacentral:rRNA from 1 species
GACGAACGCUGGCGGCGUGCUUAACACAUGCAAGUCGAACGGAAAGGCCCUGCUUUUGUGGGGUGCUCGAGUGGCGAACGGGUGAGUAACACGUGAGUAACCUGCCCUUGACUUUGGGAUAACUUCAGGAAACUGGGGCUAAUACCGGAUAGGAGCUCCUGCUGCAUGGUGGGGGUUGGAAAGUUUCGGCGGUUGGGGAUGGACUCGGGGCUUAUCAGCUUGUUGGUGGGGUAGUGGCUUACCAAGGCUUUGACGGGUAGCCGGCCUGAGAGGGUGACCGGCCACAUUGGGACUGAGAUACGGCCCAGACUGCUACGGGAGGCAGCAGUGGGGAAUAUUGCACAAUGGGCGGAAGCCUGAUGCAGAAACGCCGCGUGCGGGAUGACGGCCUUCGGGUUGUAAACCGCUUUCGCCUGUGACGAAGCGUGAGUGACGGUAAUGGGUAAAGAAGCACCGGCUAACUACGUG